GUUGUAUUAGCUCAGUGGUAGAGUGCGUGACUUUUAAUCACGUGGUUGUGGGUUUGAUGCCCACAUAUGGCG